rnacentral:misc_RNA from 1 species
GCAACUUCAACAGUUACUGCUCAAGCUCAGGUUCUAAAGGUGACUGCAAUUGUUAUCCCGGUUUUGAUUGGAUAAACCAGAGUGAGAAAUCGUUAGGCUGCACUCUGAACUUCUCAGAAGAUGUUUGCAGAAAAGAUCUCAAAAUUUAUUACAAUAUUACCGCUAUGGAGAAUACAUGGUGGGCCGACUUUCCUUUCUCUGUCGUAUCAAUGACAAGGGAAGACUGUACCAGGUCUUGCCAAGAGGAUUGUAAUUGUGGGGCUGUUUUAUAUACAGGUGAAGUGAAAAAUGCCAAAAAUACAAGCUUCUACUCAGAUAUGGAAAAAGAAACAUGUCAACCACAGCAUUCUUCAAGGUGAUUAUGGGGAGUUCAGCAAGCCAUGGCGGUCCAGAGAUUGCAACAGAAGGCAAGAAAAGCUUAAUCUUGAUUCUUGCCAUAAGUUCAGGUUCCAUUGCUUGCGUUUGUUUUGCUCUUGCAGUCUCUAGUUUCUUUUUUUACUGCCAUCAAGUUCAUAGUUAUAGAAAGAUAUCAGAAAAUGGAAAUUUGGGAUUAUCAGAAGAGUUUGCUCUGCGGUCAUUCUCCUAUAGUGAGCUGGAGAAAGCAACAAAUGGCUUUCAGGAAGAGUUAGGAAGGG